rnacentral:rRNA from 1 species
AACGAACGCUGGCGGCAGGCUUAACACAUGCAAGUCGAGCGCCCCGCAAGGGGAGCGGCAGACGGGUGAGUAACGCGUGGGAAUCUACCUAUCUCUACGGAACAACUCCGGGAAACUGGAGCUAAUACCGUAUACGCCCUACGGGGGAAAGAUUUAUCGGGGAUAGAUGAGCCCGCGUUGGAUUAGCUAGUUGGUGGGGUAAUGGCCUACCAAGGCGACGAGCCACAGCUGGUCUGAGAGGAUGAUCCGCCACACUGGGACUGAGACACGGCCCAGACUCCUACGGGAGGCAGCAGUGGGGAAUAUUGGACAAUGGGCGCAAGCCUGAUCCAGCCAUGCCGCGUGAGUGAUGAAGGCCCUAGGGUUGUAAAGCUCUUUCACCGGUGAAGAUAAUGACGGUAACCGGAGAAGAAGCCCCGGCUAACUUCGUGCCAGCCGCCGCCGUAAUAC